CUCUCCGUCUGAUUGCGAGGCUCCUGGCUCCUUUGUCCAGGAAGGGGCAGCUCCCCAACGGGCUGGCCAACGGUGAGCCGAGGCAGGGGCAGAACAAACCGAUCCCUCCAGGCCCAGCUGGGGGAUCACCCCCUAGCACCCCGGGAGAUGUCUGUCUGUCGCACGCCGGUAUGAGCCAACUUGCGUCUUGCAAUCUUAUUGUCGUUUCUCGGCAGGCUGUAGUCGGUCCCCGAGCCUGCGGAUCUGUCAGUCUGUGGGUUCCCCCAGCUAUCUCAGACACCUCUCAGCUGCACAUUAUGCAGGCCGGAAAACAUAAGCACAAAUAGCGGGCCUGGUUUUUCGUGAACAAUAAAGCAAGAUGUCUGACC